CUAGGAUUAAAUAGCACAAUAUACGCAACAUAAAAUAUGCCACAAACAAACAAAAAAAGUUCAAAAUAGAGGCACCGCCUUGGAAGGGUCUGUAAACCUUGGCGUUAAAACGCGUUUAAACCCCAUUAAGGGCUUUUAGUUAAAAAUAAUUUUUGAUUCUAAAAUUAGGCUGUAUUGAUAAAAAUAUUUAUGAGACAUUCUUUUUGACAGGUCCGUUCGUCCAUCCGCCUUCUGUCACUUUUCAUCUCCGUUCAGUAACUAGAGAACUCCUUCGAAUUUCAAUGGCUGAUAUGCCUUACAGUGAUAUGACCCCUAUUGUUUUUGAGAUCAAAAGUCAUGGGCACAGGGGCUACAAUUUUGAGUGUUAUAAUAAGAGUCGAUAAUUUCAUUUGACGACAAUCUGUCAAAAAAAGAAAGAACAUAAGUGACACAGAAACAAUAAAGGGAGAUAAUUCAGGAAGAAAAGCAUCGAGGGGUAAAGAUUUCCGGACAGACUUUUCAAAAAUUGAAACCAACCUAUUGGCUAGAUUUUCUGAAAUACCAGUGAUGCUUUUCACAGCAACUGCCUCUGCAGAAGCACAGUCAAAGAUUGCAAAAAUCCUUCAGAUGAAAAGCCCAAAUGUUAUAUCCAGAUAAGACAAGGUGAAUAUCAAGUACAGUAAAAUUUGUCGACCAUCUUCAGCUAAAACACAAGAUCAUCUUGAUGAAACUUUAGCACCAAUGGUCGAUUCACUCCUAGAUAUGAGACAAACUUAUCCUCUGACACUGAUCUACACUGAUACAAGUACUAUCAGUUAUGCAUAUACAUUCUUUGAGACAGAAAUGGGAGACAACCAGUACAUGGGAGAGGCAAUUCCUGAAAACCGGUUAUUUGCCCUGUAUCAUCAUACAUAUACUGAAAGAAAUGAAGAAGUUUAUAGUCUCUGAACUAUGUAAAGAACAAUAAGAGUUGUUUUUGCAAUUGUUGCCCUAGGCAUGGGUUUAAACUCUCCCCACAUAAGAAAUGUGAUUCAUUACAAGCCACCUACUUCAACUGAAAAGUAUUUUCAGGAAACUGGCCGUGCUGGGAGAGAUGGAAAAUUAAGUUCUGCAACUUUAUAUUACAACAACACUGAAGAAUCGUCCAGGAAUUGAAAACAGCAUAAUAGAUUAUUGUAAAAAUAACUCAAAAUGCAUGUGAGAAAUGAUGCUGGAACAUUUUGGACUCAUGCCCAGUGAAAUGGUUGAUCGCUCUUCUUGUUGUGACUUUUGUGACACCUUAUAGUAUUUUCCACAACACAAGCAGUAUGCGCAUCUGUAUUUAUUUAGCUGUAUAGUAUAAUGAUGUGUAUAUCUACCUCAAGA
rnacentral:lncRNA from 1 species